rnacentral:rRNA from 1 species
AUUCCAGCUCCAAUAGCGUAUAUUAAAGUUGUUGCAGUUAAAAAGCUCGUAGUUGGAUUUCUGGUUUGAUGCCCUGGCCCGCGGCGAUUCGCCGUGAGUGCCGGUUGUGCGUCUGCCAUCCUUCUAGAAAACGUUUCUACCCUUCACUGGGCCGGACUCGCGAUCUAGAUCUUUUACUUUGAAAAAAUUAGAGUGUUUAAAGCAGGCUUUUGCUAUGAAUACAUUAGCAUGGAAUAAUAAUCUAGGACUUCGGUUCUAUUUUGUUGGUUUCUAGUACUGAAGUAAUGAUUGAUAGGGAUAGUUGGGGGUGCUAGUAUUGAGCGGCCAGAGGUGAAAUUCUUGGAUUCGCUCAAGACUAACUUAUGCGAAAGCAUUCACCAAGGAUGUCUUCAUCA